AUGACCAUCUUCUACGGCGGGCAGGUGCUGGUGCUCGACGAGGUCCCGGACGACAGGGCGGCCGAGCUGCUCCGUGUCGCUGCUGUCUCAGGCACCACGCGAGGGUACUGCGAGGCGGCCGACGGCGACCUGCCCAUGGCGAGGAAAGCGUCGCUGCAGAGGUUCAUGGAGAAGCGCAAGGGAAGGCUCGCCGCUCGCGCCGUCCCCUACAACCGGCCCGACGGCGACGCAGCCUCCUGUAACCGUCUCACGCUUACGCUCUGA
rnacentral:rRNA from 1 species